rnacentral:rRNA from 1 species
UACGUAGGGGGCAAGCGUUGUCCGGAAUCAUUGGGCGUAAAGAGCGCGUAGGCGGCCCUGUAAGUCCGCUGUGAAAGUCAGGGCUCAACCCUGGGAUGCCGGUGGAUACUGCGAGGCUGAGUCCGGAAGAGGCGAGUGGAAUUCCUGGUGUAGCGGUGAAAUGCGCAGAUAUCAGGAGGAACACCAGUGCGAAGGCAGCUCGCUGGGACGUGACUGACGCUGAGCACGAGAAGCGUGGGGAGCAAACAGG